GACGAACGCUGGCGGCGUGCCUAAUACAUGCAAGUCGAACGGAAAGGCCCUGCUCUUGUGGGGUGCUUGAGUGCCGAACGGGGGAGAAUCACGCGUGUAACCUCUCCCUGUCUGUGGGAUAACACCAGGAGACACGGGCUCUAAUCCCGUAGGAGCUCUUGCAGCACGGGGGUGGAUGGUAAGAUUCGGCCGUUUGGGAUGGAAUGGCGGCUUAUCAGCUUGUUGGUGAGGUAGUGGAUUACCAAGGCUUCGAGGGGUAGCCGGCCUGGGAGGGGGAACGGGCACAAUGGGACUGAGAUACGGCCCAGACUGGAACGGGAGGCAGCGGUGGAAAACAUUGCAGAAUGGGCGGGAGCCUGAUGCAGCGACGCCGGGUGCGGAAAGACGGCCUUCGGGUUGUAAACCGCUUUGGCCUGUAACGAAGAGUGAGUGACGGUAAUGAGUAAGAAAGCAACGGCUAACUACGUG
rnacentral:rRNA from 1 species